rnacentral:rRNA from 1 species
UACGGAGGGUGCGAGCGUCGUUCGGAAUCACUGGGCGUAAAGGGCGUGUAGGCGGUCCGCUAAGUCUGAUGUGAAAGCCCGGGGCUCACCCCCCGGAAGGGCAUUGGAAACUGACGGACUCGAGUCCCGAAGAGGAGGGUGGAAGUUCCUGGUGUAGCGGUGAAAUGCGUAGAUAUCAGGAGGAACACCGGUGGCGAAGGCGGCCCUCUGGACGGUGACUGACGCUGGAGACGCGAAAGCGUGGGGAGCAAACAGG